UAUCUUCAGGGCAGGGUGAAAUUCCCGAUCGGCGGUAAAGUCCGCGAGCGAAACGAAAACGGUUUGGCAGGAACUGGUGCAAUUCCAGUACCGACAGUAUAGUCUGGAUGGAAGAAGAG
rnacentral:ncRNA from 2 species